UUAUCCCGAUUUUGUCAAUCUAUGAAUCAGUGCUUCGUCCGAUACUCUGCCUCUCAAUCUGAUAUUGGUGUCGCAUGCUAAUAUGUCGGCCAUUGAAGAUUGAUGGUAGGCGUUUUAAUCUCGAACGAUUUCGUAGAUCUGUGUGGUUUUGCCUUGGAUCGGGUUUGCUUGGUGUUGUACGACCCGCAAAGUUCCGAUGAGGUGAUGAAUUGAUUUGUGGGUGGUUGAGAUAUCGAUUGGCCAGAUUGGCCGAUGAUGUUGUCUCAAGAUGUUUAAUCAAGCGAUGAUAAUGAUGUAGUUUGGUUAAAACCGGUGUGGGUUCUUUGAUCUUGGUUACAGAUACGUCGGUUCCGGUGAACGUCUGGUGUUCCGGCGUUGUUUCUCAAUCGGUGAAGGCGGUAGAAAGUUCCAGCAUGUGUCCACACACGUUGCAAGGU
rnacentral:lncRNA from 1 species